GGGACACGUGGUAUCCUGUCUGAAUAUGGGGGGACCAUCCUCCAAGGCUAAAUACUCCUGACUGACCGAUAGUGAACCAGUACCGUGAGGGAAAGGCGAAAAGAACCCCGGCGAGGGGAGUGAAAAAGAACCUGAAACCGUGUACGUACAAGCAGUGGGAGCACGCUUAGGCGUGUGACUGCGUACCUUUUGUAUAAUGGGUCAGCGACUUAUAUUCUGUAGCAAGGUUAACCGAAUAGGGGAGCCGAAGGGAAACCGAGUCUUAACUGGGCGUUAAGUUGCAGGGUAUAGACCCGAAACCCGGUGAUCUAGCCAUGGGCAGGUUGAAGGUUGGGUAACACUAACUGGAGGACCGAACCGACUAAUGUUGAAAAAUUAGCGGAUGACUUGUGGCUGGGGGUGAAAGGCCAAUCAAACCGGGAGAUAGCUGGUUCUCCCCGAAAGCUAUUUAGGUAGCGCCUCGUGAAUUCAUCUCCGGGGGUAGAGCACUGUUUCGGCAAGGGGGUCAUCCCGACUUACCAACCCGAUGCAAACUGCGAAUACCGGAGAAUGUUAUCACGGGAGACACACGGCGGGUGCUAACGUCCGUCGUGAAGAGGGAAACAACCCAGACCGCCAGCUAAGGUCCCAAAGUCAUGGUUAAGUGGGAAACGAUGUGGGAAGGCCCAGACAGCCAGGAUGUUGGCUUAGAAGCAGCCAUCAUUUAAAGAAAGCGUAAUAGCUCACUGGUCGAGUCGGCCUGCGCGGAAGAUGUAACGGGGCUAAACCAUGCACCGAAGCUGCGGCAGCGACGCUUAUGCGUUGUUGGGUA
rnacentral:rRNA from 2 species